GUGCUCGCUUCGGCAGCACAUACACUAAAAUUGGAACGAUACAGAGAAGAUAGCAUGGCCCCUGCACAAGGAUGACACGCAAUUCGUGAAGCGUUCCAUAUUUUU
ensembl:snRNA U6 U6 spliceosomal RNA